GUGUAGAGCUUAAAAUUAUGCUCAAUGUCACACUUACUGGAACAACUCAGUAUGCUGAGAUUGUCUCAUUUCAUUAGACAUGAUUUCAUCUUUUUUUUCAAUUUUUUUAAUGACAGUAGCCUGAUGCAUAGAUCUUUAAAAGGUCUGCAGAAACCAGAAGAUGAAAUGUAGAGUGAUUCAUCUGAACACUGAUUCAGUCCAAAAACUGAACAAUAGAUUUCACAACUGUCAGUGCUGAGUGGAGUUCCUUGUCUGCUUCUACACUACAAGCCUUCAGUCACCCUUGGAGGAAGCUCAUUUCUACUUCUGAACAAGGGUAUUUUGUUCACGGCACCACAGGCAAGUAUCUAGAAGUAUAUCUAUGCUAGGAAGCGAAGAACUUCAUGCUAAUUGAUUUUUAUGACUCACAUUUGCCAUUCCAGUAUAGCCAUAAUGCUGAUAUAAUAUUUCUGGACAUUUUUAGUUCUUCCAGGAAGUGUUUAGGAAGAGGAGAGCUUGAAUGGCUGCCGGCUUGGUCUGCAGAUGUGUAGUUCUUCCUGGGUUGGAUUUGCAGGGUUCAUGUAAGCAUGAACUCAGACCCUCUGCAAAGGUAGAGGUGAUAUUUAGGCUGCAUUCUGCUGACGUGUUCCUGAGCUUGAUGAAGAGUUACCUUUUUUGACCUGGGAAGAUUGGAAAAGAAAUCUGGAAUUGCAGGAUGUGGAUUUGGCUUCAGUCUUUACCUUGAUGAUUUCAGGAGCGGGCACCAAAUAAUAAACAAAAAUAUGCUGUCAUCCUCAACCUCUUGUGGGAUGGAGGAGAAGUCUGACAACUUAACUUGGCUUUGCUAUCCCUCAUGGGCAAACGUGCUUCCUUUCCUUCCUGUGAUGCAUUGCAAGCGUAAUGUGUCUUGUCCUGCUGCCAAUACCACCACAAUAGAUUACAGUGCUUCUCUGAGCAGAGAUACUGGUAACAUACAUUCCUCCACACAGUCCUUGAAGAACACUGAAAUUUCAAAGAAGAGAAUCAAAGGCAGAACGCCUGCGAUGAAGGGAGCGGGCAUUCAGCCUACUGCUGGACAGACCUCUCAUCUCCCUCUCGUGCUGCCUCUGCUGUGGAUCAGUGCUGCAGGGGCUCAGGCUGCCAUUCUCAGCACUACACCAGCAGCAUUAAUGCAGCCCAGGCACUGACAAUCUGAGCUAAGACUUGCAGCAGCGCUGCUUCAACUCAAAGUAACAUGUGGUGCAAAAAAAAAAUCUCUUCUUGGCAGAGGACACAACACAGAGAGGGCAAACAGAUGGGGACUGCCUCUACUCUGGUCAGGAAAAAUAGAAGUGUCGUUUGUGAAAAAACCCUGGCAUUUCAAGAGCCGCAUUCCAUUGUGUCAGACAAAAUGAGACCUUUCAC
rnacentral:lncRNA from 1 species